rnacentral:rRNA from 1 species
AUGAACGCUGGCGGCGUGCCUAAUACCUGCCAGUCGAGCGAACAGAUGAGGAGCUUGCUCCUCUGACGUUAGCGGCGGACGGGUGAGUAACACGUGGAUAACCUACCUAUAAGACUGGGAUAACUUCGGGAAACCGGAGCUAAUACCGGAUAAUAUAUUGAACCGCAUGGUUCAAUAGUGAAAGACGGCUUUGCUGUCACUUAUAGAUGGAUCCGCGCCGCAUUAGCUAGUUGGUAAGGUAACGGCUUACCAAGGCAACGAUGCGUAGCCGACCUGAGAGGGUGAUCGGCCACACUGGAACUGAGACACGGUCCAGACUCCUACGGGAGGCAGCAGUAGGGAAUCUUCCGCAAUGGGCGAAAGCCUGACGGAGCAACGCCGCGUGAGUGAUGAAGGUCUUCGGAUCGUAAAACUCUGUUAUUAGGGAAGAACAAAUGUGUAAGUAACUAUGCACGUCUUGACGGUACCUAAUCAGAAAGCCACGGCUAACUACGUG